GAUGAACGCUGGCGGCGUGCCUAAUACAUGCAAGUCGAGCGAACAGACGAGGAGCUUGCUCCUCUGACGUUAGCGGCGGACGGGUGAGUAACACGUGGAUAACCUACCUAUAAGACUGGGAUAACUUCGGGAAACCGGAGCUAAUACCGGAUAAUAUAUUGAACCGCAUGGUUCAAUAGUGAAAGACGGUUUUGCUGUCACUUAUAGAUGGAUCCGCGCCGCAUUAGCUAGUUGGUAAGGUAACGGCUUACCAAGGCAACGAUGCGUAGCCGACCUGAGAGGGGGAUCGGCCACACUGGAACUGAGACACGGGCCAGACUCCUACGGGAGGCAGCAGUAGGGAAUCUUCCGCAAUGGGCGAAAGCCUGACGGAGCAACGCCGCGUGAGUGAUGAAGGGCUUCGGAUCGUAAAACUCUGUUAUUAGGGAAGAACAAAUGUGUAAGUAACUAUGCACGUCUUGACGGUACCUAAUCAGAAAGCCACGGCUAACUACGUG
rnacentral:rRNA from 1 species